GAUGAACGCUGGCGGCGUGCCUAAUACAUGCAAGUCGAGCGAACAGAUGAGGUGCUUGCUCCUCUGACGUUAGCGGCGGACGGGUGAGUAACACGUGGAUAACCUACCUAUAAGACUGGGAUAACUUCGGGAAACCGGAGCUAAUACCGGAUAAUAUAUUGAACCGCAUGGUUCAAUAGUGAAAGACGGUUUUGCUGUCACUUAUAGAUGGAUCCGCGCCGCAUUAGCUAGUUGGUAAGGUAACGGCUUACCAAGGCAACGAUGCGUAGCCGACCUGAGAGGGUGAUCGGCCACACUGGAACUGAGACACGGUCCAGACUCCUACGGGAGGCAGCAGUAGGGAAUCUUCCGCAAUGGGCGAAAGCCUGACGGAGCAACGCCGCGUGAGUGAUGAAGGUCUUCGGAUCGUAAAACUCUGUUAUUAGGGAAGAACAAAUGUGUAAGUAACUAUGCACGUCUUGACGGUACCUAAUCAGAAAACCACGGCUAACUACGU
rnacentral:rRNA from 1 species